GAUGAAGAACGUAGCGAAAUGCGAUAAGUAAUGUGAAUUGCAGAAUUCAGUGAAUCAUCGAAUCUUUGAACGCACAUUGCGCCCGCCAGUAUUCUGGCGGGCAUGCCUGUUCGAGCGUCAUUACAACCCUCAGGCCCCCGGGCCUGGCGUUGGGGAUCGGCGGAAGCCCCCUGCGGGCACAACGCCGUCCCCCAAAUACAGUGGCGGUCCCGCCGCAGCUUCCAUUGCGUAGUAGCUAACACCUCGCAACUGGAGAGCGGCGCGGCCACGCCGUAAAACACCCAACUUCUGAAUGUCGACCUCGAAUCAGGUAGGAAUACCCGCUGAACUUAAGCAUAUCAAUAAGCGGAGGA
rnacentral:misc_RNA from 1 species